GGCAGAGCAUGUCGACAUGAUCAGGUUUCAGGUUUGCUGCAGAGAGCUCUAUAACUGUCUUCCUCCUCAUUUUUUUCUAUCUGCAAAUCCCAAUUAGUCAUUGCAGUGAGAGACCCAUCCUUCUUUUUUCCUUCCUCAACGGGAGCGAUUUUUUUCCUUUUUCUGGGGUCUCAUUACUCUAAAAGAACUUUGCUAAAUUCCAAUUAGACCUCUUCAAAAGAGAGCGUUUUACACGUCUCACUCGGAGUCCAAAAAGUUCACCUUCCUCAGAACCCUUCAAAGAAGCUAUUCCCAAUUCCCAUCAGGUCAAGGUAAUAGGAAAGCCUAUGCUUACCUCUACCCAUACCUCUAUAUAGAUCUGCCAUGGGGAUUUGCUUUUGUAUUAUUGAAUUUUGGGUUUCUAGAUAGGUUUAAACGAUGAGUAGUGGUGGGGAAUCAUCACAUAAUCGAACCCCCAGAGAAUUAAUAUGCCACGCCGGUGCUGGUGCUGCUGCAGGUGCUAUUGCGGCUACUGUCGUUUGCCCAUUGGAUGUGAUCAAGACAAGGUUGCAGGUCCAUGGAUUGCCCUCAACUUCCAAUUCAGGUCGCACAGGUAGCAUCAUUGUCACAAGUCUCAAGAACAUAAUUAGGAAUGAAGGUUUUAAGGGAUUGUAUCGAGGUCUCUCUCCAACAAUAAUAGCUCUACUUCCAAACUGGACUGUGUAUUUCACAGUUUAUGAGCAACUCAAAGGCAUCCUUCUUUCACAUGGUGAUGGAAAUAGCCAACUCACAAUUGGUGCAAACAUGGUAGCUGCUGCAGGUGCUGGGGCUGCCACAGCCAUCGCUACAAAUCCGUUGUGGGUAGUGAAAACCAGACUCCAAGUAAGUAUACCAUGGCUAUAUAUUAUUCUAUGGUUCUACUUACUACACUUGUUGCCUCUUUAAUUGAUGGUUAUUGCUUUUAAAAUUUUGUUGCAACAAAUAUAUAGUCCAUUGAUGGAUAUUAAAUACCUUGCUCGUUGACACAUACACACAGAGAGACACCUGUCUCUCUAUAUGUGAUUUUAGAGAACUCUCUCACUGUACUUCGUUUUAGUUAUUGGAGUACGUUGUUGUGUUGCGACAAAGUAUCUAAACCAGGUCACAACUGGAAAAUGGGGUGGAAUUUUGAGGAUCAAACUCGUUGACAAUGCUAUAGAGUAGAGAGAUUAGUGGGCCGAACAGGCAUAUAGUUUGGACCAUGAAAAUAAGCCUCCUGGAGAAAAUUAGUUAAUCAUUCAGUUUUGAGAUUUUAGAAACAUCUUUGCUUUCUCUUUUGCUGAAAAGGAUUUAGCAUAGAAACUUUCACAUGCUGUAAGAGCUAAUAGACAUUAGGGCCAUUUGGAAAGGACUAUUUUCUUCCUUUCUUCCCCACCUUCCUCUUUCCUUCUUUUUGGGUGCCUUAAUCGGUAAUUUUGGUCAUCUUAAUAAUUUUGUUAACUGUAAUCUGUAAUAAGCAAGCAUAACUAAAACUAUGUUUGAUUGGCAAAUUGCAAGUGUUGGAUCCAAUGCCACCCAAUGUUGCUUCCCUACUGCUAAGCUAAUUUUCAAGCAUGGUGAGUCAGUCAAAAAAAAAAAAAAAGCAUGGUAAGCAUUAUAAGAUUGGGAGAGUGAUAAAAUAAUGCAAAAGAAUUGUACUUGUUGCACAUUUGGAUCUUAGAUGUGAAUGGUUUGUUUCUUUUUUGUUGCUCUUUCUACAAGUAUAGGUUUAGAGGAUAUGCUGCUUUUAUAUGAUCAAUGUGCACAUCACUACCUUUAGUGCUUGAAACUGUGAAUCCAAGUAGAAAGUUUUGAGCUUGCAUGAGUCUGAAAAUGUCUUUGCUAAUAGGUGCUAAAGAAAAGCUCAAUAACCUUGAGAUGGAGAAUGAGAUUUAAACUCAUCGCAUGGCUGCAAGCUUAACCUAUGCUGUGUCUGCAUUUAAGGAAAGGAAAAUGUGGAUUUGAAUGACAUUUUAGUUCAAAUAAGAAUAAAAAUCUGAAAAAGGUGAAAAGAUCAAGAAAGAGACAAAAAUAGGAAAGCACAUACUUAAAUGAAACACUUUGGAUUAAGUGAACAAAAUUACACCUUUUCAAUUCACAAUCUAAAAACUAAUUUUGAUGGAUUUGCCAUAUGUUCGCUUACAUUCUCUUCUUUCAAGAAUUUUUUAUUCAGAAUUGCCCAUUUCCAAUCUGCAGAAAGCUGCUUGAAAUGGUUUUUUAAAAAGUUAGGUUUCUGUAAUAAGUUCCAUGGAGGUACAUUUAUUUAUUUCAAUUAUAUGCUGGCCAAAAUUUUCUGUAGUGAAAUGGGAAAUUUUCUUCAAUAACUUCUUUUUUGACCCCAUGCUAGUUCUGGAAAUUUCUAAUUUGCAGAAUUCCUAUUGUUUGCUGGUCUGUGAAGUUUAAAAACUAGAUUUAUCACGAGUCACUUCCUCUUCCUUUACUUGUUUAUUUAUUUACUUUUUGGUGCUGGGGUGGGAUGGGAGGGUAUGGGUUUAAGUAGGUGGUAGGUGGAGAUUGGUGAUCAAUACAACUCUAUAUUAAGAGCAUUUUCUCAUUGUGGCUUAUGCUGAUUUGAUAUUUAAUUUAUGAUUGUGAUUCUAUUUGUGGACGCUUAGUUGUUUCCAUCUCUUUCUUAGACACAAGGAAUGAGACCAGAUGUGGUUCCCUAUAAAAGCAUACUUUCUGCUUUUAGAAGGAUUAUACACGAGGAAGGCAUGCGAGGGUUGUAUAGGUCAGUGUAAAUUUCAAAAUUUGACCCAGCCUUUAGUUGUACUUUGGAUUUAAAUGUGCAUGAUGAUUGAGUGAUUUUGUUUGGAACAUAUUGCAAGCAGCAUUUCUAUGAUUAUAAUGACUGGAAUUUGUUCUUUCGUGUGAUUAAGUUUUUCCCUUGGUAUGGAACAGUGGCAUUCUGCCUUCUUUGGCUGGGAUAAGUCAUGUUGCAAUUCAAUUUCCGGCGUAUGAAAAGAUUAAGUAUUAUGUGGCUAAAAAGGGUAAUAUUUACUGUUUAAUUAUUUUCUGGAUUGUGUAUCUAAGAUUUCUUUGUGAAUUUGAUCAGUGCUGAUGUUAUUGUUUUCAAUUUUCUCAGAUAAUACUUCUGUUGAUAAGCUAAGUGCUGGGGAUGUUGCAAUCGCUGCUUCAACAUCCAAAGUGAUUGCCUCUGUAAUGACUUAUCCUCACGAGGUGUGUUUUUGGCAUGGUUCUAUUCUUUUACUCUACUGUAGUGGAGAGCUUAUCAGCCACAAAACUCUCGAUAUUUAUCUUGCUAAAGGCAUGCAUGGGCACUGUGCAUACGCACAUUACAUUGUUUUAAUAUGUGCAUUUCAAAUACCAGGUUGUGCGAUCAAGGCUUCAAGAGCAAGGGCAAGUAAGAAAUUCUGAGGUCCAAUAUCGUGGGGUUGUUGAUUGUGUUAAGAAGGUGUUCCAAAAGGAAGGUUUUCCUGGAUUUUACCGGGGCUGUGCAACAAAUUUAAUGAGAACAACCCCAUCUGCUGUCAUUACAUUUACCUCUUAUGAGAUGAUACAUAGGUUUCUAGACCGAGUUUUGCCUCCAGACAAGAAGCAUUCAGAAGCUCAACCAAAACCAGGCUAUCCCCAACAUCUGAUGGAAAACCAAGGAAACGGGAUGGGUAACAACAUUGUUUUGGGGCAAUCACAAACACAACCAAACAAGAGAACUACCUCUAUUCCUCUGGGAAACGAGGAGCAGCUAACUGCAGCACACUGAUUGACCUGUUCCUUUGGAAACUUACCGGGUGUUGAUUAUCCAUAAAACCUGAAAUGGAUAAUGAAAACGUGAAGGUGAAUAAGAGUUAUUAUUAUUAUUUUUUUAAUUGAUUUCUAAUUUUGGUUUUGUAUUUUAUUUGGAAAGGCCAGCCAAAUGUAAUGUUUGAUGAAUAAAAUGCGAAAUUUUUUUUGCUCCUUAAUUUGCUCCUUUUUGUGUGUUGAACAGUUGCCAUCAAUGUAAUAUGGUUGGAAUUAGAUGAAGUAAUCUCCUUUUUAUUUCCAACCCAAGCAACCAAAUAGAAGAGGCGAUGUAAAAUGUCUAUAAAUAUGUACCUUGUUUUGAUCUUUAUUUGGUAAUGGUUUGAAAUUUAAAUUUAUUUCAAUCAAGGUGUAAAAUGUUUAAAACAUUA
rnacentral:misc_RNA from 1 species